UAAACCAAAUCGCCGCUCUUUUGUUUCCGGUUUCUGAAAUUUCCUAAGAGAAUUGAAUUGUAUGCUUUCUUUUGAUUAUUUCAGUUGUCUUUUACAUAAGUUCAUGAAUUAAUUUAAGAUUUUAUUUUAUUACGUGUUUAUUAAAAAAGAGAGUGUAAAGUGAUAAUAUAAUAUUGUGAUUACUUGAAAACCGACAAAAUGACUAUCGGCAAAAAUAAUAAAAUGCUUCAGCACAUUAAUUAUAGGGUCAGAAUCAUUCUUCAGGAUUCGAGAACCUUUAUAGGGACAUUUAAGGCAUUCGAUAAGCAUAUGAAUCUUAUACUUGGAGAUUGCGAAGAAUUUCGCAAAAUUAAGCCAAAGAAUACAAAACAACCAGAAACAGAACAAAAGCGUGUUUUAGGCUUUGUACUUUUAAGAGGAGAAAAUAUUGUUUCUUUAACUGUAGAAGGUCCUCCACCUCCGGAGGAAGGAUUGCCUAGAGUACCUAUUCCAGGUGCUGCACCAGGUCCUGGUAUUGGACGACCUGCUGGUCGUGGCAUGCCUGCAAGUAUUGCAGGAGUACCGGCAGGCUUACAAGGACCUGUUAGGGGCAUUGGUGGUCCAUCACAACAAAUAAUGACACCUGGUGGUAGAGGUCAAGUAUCAGCACCACCACAAAUGCAUCCAGGUGGUCCUCCACGUAUGCCUGUAAGUGGACCACCGCCUGGUAUGAUGGGACCACCACCAGGAAUGAUGGGAAUGCCACCUGGAAUGCCACCCAUGGGGAGAGGCGGCCCACCAAUGGGACCACCAGGAAUGCGUGGUCCACCACCCGCAUAUUGAUGUUAUGAUAAUUGAGGAUGGACAUUCCAGAGUGCUACAAUGUUUCAGGAAGCACUGCUGCUAUAAUUUUAUGCAUGGCAUAUGGCAGGUUCUUACAACCAAAAUUUUAUAUAAGAUGUACUAUUAAGAUCACACACACAAGAAUGGUACUUCAUCUGAUACAAUUAUGUGAAUAUGAAAUAUAUGAUUACUUUUAAAAA